UUGUACCAAGUGACUACAGUUGUCUGGAGACUUGUACCCAGUGACUAUAGUUGUCUGGAUACUUGUAUCUAGUGACUACAGUUGUCUGGAGACUUGUUUCUAGUGACUACAGUUGUCUGGAGACUUGUACCCAGUAACUAUAGUUGUCUAGGACAUUUGUAUCCAGUGACUAUAGUUGUCUGGAGACUUGUAUCGAGUUACUAUAGUUGUCUAGGAGACUUGUAUCCAGUGACUAUAGUUGUCAGGGAGAUUUGUAUCCAGUGUUUAUAGUUGUCGGGGAGCCUUGUAUCGAGUGACUAAAGUUGUCUAGGAGACUUGUAUCCAGUGACUAUAGUUGUCAGGGAGAUUUGUAUCCAGUGACUAUAGUUGUCUGGGAGACUUGUAUCCAGUGACUAUAAUUGUUUUGGAGACUUGUAUCCAGUGACUAUAGUUGCCUAAGAGACUUGUAUCCAGUGACUAUAGUUGUCUGUGAAACUUGUACCCAGUGACUAUAGUUGUCUAGGACAUUUGUAUCUAUUGACUAGAGUUGUCUGGGAGAUUUGUACCAAGUGACUACAGUUGUCUGGAGACUUGUACCCAGAGAUUAUAGUUGUCUUGGAUAUUUGUACCCAGUGACUACAGUUCUCAGGGAGAUUUUUACCCAGUGACUACAGUUGUCUGGGAGAUUUGUAACCAGUGACUACAAUUGUCUGGGAGAUUUGUAUCCAGUGACUACAGUUGUCGGGAGACUUGUACCCUGUUAUUAAUUUGUCUGGGAGAUUUGUACCCAGUGACUACAGUUGUCUGAGAGAUUUGUAACCAGUGACUACAGUUGUGAGGUAGGUUUGUACCCAGUGACUACAGUUGUCAGGGAGGUUUGUACCCAGUUAUUAAUUUGUCUGGGAGAUUUGUACCCAGUAACUACAGUUUUCAGGGAGGUUUGUACCCAGUGACUAGAGUUGUCAGGGAGGUUUGUACCCAGUGACUACAGUUGACUUGGUGAGGUUCAGCGACACACUAGUCAUGUUAAUUACUUGUCUAUGUUUGUACCCAGUCACUACAGUUGACUCGGUGAGGUUCUGGGACACACUAGUCAUGUUACUUGAGUAUGUUUGUACCCAGUGACUACAGUUGACUUGGUGAGGUUCAGCGACACACUAGUCAUGUUAAUUACUUGUCUAUGUUUGUACCCAGUGACUACAGUUGACUCGGUGAGGUUCUGGGGCACACAAGUCAUGUUAAUUACUUGUCUGUGUUUGUUGUUAUGUUCUACUAAUCAUGCAUGACAUUUUAAUAUUUCAAAGUUAAUGAAAUUUUGACAAUUUUUUUUCAUUGAUUUAAGAUUUUAUACUGUAUUUUACACUUAAUACUAUAAGGUCACCUGGUAUGGAGUUUAUACUGUGGUGGGGAGUCUGUUGUCUAACAUAAAUCUUUAUUAUUAUCAAGAGAUGCAUGGUAAUUGUACACGUUUUGUAGCAUCCUUCGGCAGAGAGCUAUAAAAUUUGUGAAAAAAACAUUUUCUCACUCUCUAUAUCACAUUUAAGCAACUUCUUCAGAAUGGCUGAGAGACCUAGAGUCAUACCAGGCCUUCAGCAUGUAGAUGUUAGGGGCUACCACUUUUGUUCCGAUGAGUUACCUGAUCCACUUUGAAAGAGGUAAAAUGUGUCAAAAUCAUUAAACAACUUCUGAUUAACAAAAUGUCAAGGAACAUGAUAUAUGGCCUAUAUAAUAACAACUCAAACAGAUUCUUUAAAAGGUCCAUAAAGUGUUACGAUAUUUGGCUUGAAAAUAAACACUUUUUGCAAAUAAAUGACCUUCCCUCAGUUUCAAGGUCACAUGAGACUGAUUAAAGAGAUAUCAUGAAAAAUAUCUUCAAAUGGCUUAUUUAAAAACAUUCCUAAAGUCUAGAAGGAAUGGAAGACAGUAAAAUAUGUGACAUUGAUCCUAUUUCAAGGUCAGAGAUGGAAUGUGUUAAAAUCUUCAAACAGAAUCUUCUGAAGAUGUUAAGCAUUAAGCAUGCUGGUGUGAAAGAUAUUUAUUCAAAUAAAUAACCUUUACCAACUUUGAAGGUCGAAUCAGUAAGAUAUAAGGAGUGGAGUUAUGAUAUUUUGCUGGUAGUGAUAGCUUGUAUGCCAUCAAAUUUGCUUCAAUAAAUUUGACCUUGACUCAUUUUGAAGGUCAUAAAUGUGAAAUGUGUUUUUCAACAGAUUGAAUAACAGGUGAGCAAUACAUGCCCAUUAGGGCUCUGGAUGUGUAUUGCACCCUCUGACCUCUGUAUCUGUCUGUUCCUGUACAGACUGGAAAGAUAUGUAUAAGUGUUAUAUUAAAAGAUAUAUAAUGAUGAAUGUUA
rnacentral:lncRNA from 1 species